GAUGAACGCUAGCGGCAGGCUUAAUACAUGCAAGUCGUGGGGCAGCAGGACGGUAGCAAUACCGUUGCUGGCGACCGGCAAACGGGUGCGGAACACGUACACAACCUUCCUUUAAGUGGGGGAUAGCCCGGGGAAACCCGGAUUAAUACCUCGUAACAUAAUGAAGUGGCAUCACUUUAUUAUUAUAGCAGCAAUGCGCUUGAUGAUGGGUGUGCGCCUGAUUAGGUAGUUGGCGGGGUAACGGCCCACCAAGCCUUCGAUCAGUAACUGGUGUGAGAGCACGACCAGUCACACGGGCACUGAGACACGGGCCCGACUCCUACGGGAGGCAGCAGUAAGGAAUAUUGGUCAAUGGACGCAAGUCUGAACCAGCCAUGCCGCGUGGAGGAUGAAGGUCCUCUGGAUUGUAAACUUCUUUUAUCUGGGAAGAAAUCCAUAUUUUCUAAUGUGGUUGACGGUACCAGACGAAUAAGCACCGGCUAACUCCGUGCCAGCAGCCG
rnacentral:rRNA from 1 species